rnacentral:rRNA from 1 species
CCUACGGGUGGCAGCAGUGAGGAAUAUUGGUCAAUGGGCGCAAGCCUGAACCAGCCAUGCCGCGUGAAGGAUGACGGCCCUACGAGUUGUAAACUUCUUUUAUAAGGGGGUAAAGAGAGGCACGUGUGCCUUUUUGAAUUUACUUUAUGAAUAAGGAUCGGCUAACUCCGUGCCAGCAGCCGCGGUAAUACGGAGGAUCCGAGCGUUAUCCGGAUUUAUUGGGUUUAAAGGGAGCGUAGACGGUUUGCUAAGUCAGUUGUGAAAGUUUGCGGCUCAACCGGAAAAGUGCAAUUGAUACUGGCAGGCUUGAGAAGAGUUGAGGUAGGCGGAAUUCGUGGUGUAGCGGUGAAAUGCUUAGAGAGCAUGAAGAACACCGAUUGCGAAGGCAGCUUACCAAACUGUCACUGACAUUGAUGCUCGAAAGCGUGGGGAGCAAACAGGAUUAGAUACCCGUGUAGUC